AACGAACGCUGGCGGCAUGCCUAACACAUGCAAGUCGAACGAAGUCCUUCGGGGCUUAGUGGCGCACGGGUGCGUAACGCGUGGGAAUCUGCCCUUGGGUUCGGAAUAACAGUUAGAAAUGACUGCUAAUACCGGAUGAUGACGAAAGUCCAAAGAUUUAUCGCCCAGGGAUGAGCCCGCGUAGGAUUAGGUAGUUGGUGAGGUAAAGGCUCACCAAGCCGACGAUCCUUAGCUGGUCUGAGAGGAUGAUCAGCCACACUGGGACUGAGACACGGCCCAGACUCCUACGGGAGGCAGCAGUGGGGAAUAUUGGAUAAUGGGCGCGAGCCUGAUCCAGCAAUGCCGCGUGAGUGAUGAAGGCCUUAGGGUUGUAAAGCUCUUUUACCAGGGAUGAUAAUGACAGUACCUGGAGAAUAAGCUCCGGCUAACUCCGUGCCAGCCGCCGCGGUAAUAC
rnacentral:rRNA from 1 species